rnacentral:rRNA from 1 species
UACGUAGGUGGCGAGCGUUGUCCGGAAUUACUGGGUGUAAAGCGCGUGUAGGCGGGAGGCCAAGUCUGUGGUGAAAUCGCUCGGCUUAACUGGGCGGGGUCCAUGGAAACUGGUCACCUGGAGGUCGGUAGAGGCAAGUGGAAUUCCCGGUGUAGUGGUGAAAUGCGUAGAGAUCGGGAGGAACACCAGUGGCGAAGGCGGCUUGCUGGGCCGGACCUGACGCUGAGACGGCGAAGGCGUGGGAGCGAACGGG